UCCUCGCGGCUGUCGUCUGCAUAUGGAUCGAAAACAAAACAUUCCAGGCCUGCAGUAGAGGACAGUUUCUCAUGGGAAAUAGGGCAGCCACGUAGCCCUUUUCUUCGUUAUGAUGCCAUUUUCCUGAGUAUCAAGGUGGAAGGGAUGGUUCAAGGUGCCGAGGCCAAGAUGAAGGGGAGUGCAGCAGAGGCGGUGAAGGUGGUGGUGCGAUGUCGGCCUAUGAAUGAGCAGGAGACAGCCAAUGGCCACAAGAGGGUGGUUGAUAUGGAUGUUGAUCGGGGUGUGGUUGAACUCCGCAACAUCAAGGCACCAGACACUGAUCCUAAAAAGACGUUUACUUUUGAUGCAGUUUACGACUGGAAUUCCAAGCAACAAGAACUCUACGAUGAAACAUUCCGACCUCUUAUUGAUUCCGUUCUAUGUGGAUUUAAUGGAACAAUUUUUGCUUAUGGUCAAACUGGUACUGGAAAGACGUACACAAUGGAAGGUAUUCGAGAUGAUCCUGACCAACGUGGUGUGAUUCCAAAUUCCUUUGAACACAUAUUCAAUCACAUUGCUCGCAGCAUCAACCAGCAGUACCUCAUACGUGCCUCAUAUCUGGAAAUUUAUCAGGAAGAAAUUAGAGAUCUACUUGGAAAGGACCAAAAGAAACGAUUAGAGCUUAAGGAGAGACCAGACACUGGGGUGUAUGUUAAGGACCUCCAACAAUUUGUCUGCAAAAGUGUUAACGAGAUCCAGCACGUCAUGACAGUUGGGAACCAAAACAGAGCUGUUGGGGCAACAAAUAUGAACCUCCAUAGCUCUCGAUCACAUGCCAUCUUCAUCAUCACCAUAGAAUGUAGUGAUCUUGAUGAAAAAGGCAAAAGCCGUAUAAGAGUUGGGAAACUCAACCUCGUUGACUUAGCAGGAUCUGAACGGCAAUCAAAAACUGGCACUGUGGGCGACAGACUAAAAGAAGCCACGAAAAUUAAUUUGUCUCUCUCAGCAUUGGGAAAUGUAAUAUCUGCAUUAGUUGAUGGCAAGAGUACUCACAUUCCUUACAGAGAUUCCAAACUCACACGCCUCUUGCAAGAUUCCUUGGGAGGAAACUCUAAAACUAUCAUGGUUGCCAAUAUUGGGCCAGCAAGCUACAAUUAUGAUGAGACAAUAACAACCCUUCGCUAUGCCAACCGUGCCAAGAACAUUAAAAAUAAGCCGAAGAUUAAUGAAGAUCCAAAAGAUGCCAUCCUUAGAGAAUAUCAGCAGGAACUUGCACGGCUUAAGGCUCAACUCACGCAACGAGGAGGGAAGAAGAAAAAGAAAAAGAAACAUGUGGAAGGAGCUGAAGAGGAUGGUGAAGGGGAAGAAGAAGAUGAGGAAGAGGGUGUUGAUGAAGAGAGUAUACUACAGCAGCAGCAUGAACUUGAUGAGGAAAGGAAUCGCAUUCUCAAUGACCAACAUAUGAUUGAAGAGGAAAAACAGCGGUUCUUAUCAGAACUGAAAAAUAAAGAAGCCGAGUUGAUAGCCAGUAGAGAGGCUCAGGAGAAGCUCAUGACUCGAAUACAAACCAUGGAAUCAAAGCUUCUAUCUGGAGGCAAAAAUAUUAUUGAUCAUACAAAUGAGCAACAGAGAGCAUUACAACAGAGAACUCAAGAGCUCAUGGAACAGAAGAAACGAGAGCGAGAAAUGCUGCAAUUAUUGGAAAAGGAAGAGGAGUCAUCGGGUGAGAUUGCAUCCACAUUUUCUUCACUGCAAGCAGAAGUUGAAGCUAAAACUCGUAAACUGAAAAAGUUGUUUGCAAAGCUGCAGUCUGUCAAACAGGAAAUGGGUGAUCUACACGAAGAAUUUUGCAGAGACCGAGUUGAUCUCCAGCACACGCAGGAUGUUCUCACAAGAGAGCUGAAACUGAAGGCCCUCAUAAUUGAAAAUUUUAUUUCGCCGGAGGAAAAGCGGAAAAUCUUGUCUCGAGCGUUUUUUGACGAUGAUGAAGAUGUAUGGAAGGUUCGACCAGUAGUUCGCCAAACGGGUGGCACUCUAAAGCGACCGGUCUCGUCAGCCUCCCGGAGACCUACCUCUGAGUAUGCCAAGAUGCAGGCUUCUGUUGACCACAACCCAAGAUAUAAGGGAGAAAACAUCAUGGUUGUUGAGUUGGAUCCUGCGGUGCGUACGACAAGAGACUGGGAAGGUCCAUUAGUGGCCCCUCGUGUUGCUGCUGCAUUGGAGGCUGCACUAAUGCCACUUGAUGAAGACCUCAGUAUUGAUGCUUCCCUUGCUACAUUAAAUCGCUCUCAGGCAGUCAGGUCAACACGGAAAGAAAAGACUAAAGGAAAAUUCAAGAGUGGCUUGCGCCCCCCUUCGCAGGUGUCGGACAGUUCCAUGUACCCAAAGUCCCGCGGUCUGGUUCCCAAAUAACCAGGCCUGUGUGGUCUCCAAGAAGCUCUGCAGUGUUCGAAGAUGAUUAUGACGAGGAUCCCAGAUUUUUUGGUAAAAUUGCAAGAAAAACUGUGGAAAGUGUCAUUGAUGAAGAUGUACCAAAGAAACUAGAGAAUAAGAAAAUAAG
rnacentral:misc_RNA from 1 species